AGUCUAAUUGCUGGGUCAUAUGGUAAGCUAUGUUUAACUUUAUAAGAAACUGCCAGGUUAUUUUCUAGAGUGGCUCUACCACUUUGUAUUCCUGCCGGGAAU
rnacentral:pre_miRNA from 1 species